rnacentral:lncRNA from 1 species
UAAUGAUAAAGUACAAAAGUGUGUAAUAGAAAUUAAUGUACUGUGAAAUAAAAUUAUGUUUGGAAAUCAAGAAGAGUACAGUAAAAGUUAAAGCCUUAAAUGUAUUUGGAAACCACUUUGUAUUGUUUUAAUAGAAGAAUGGUUUCUUUAUGCAAGCUAUGAAAAAUUAUAGGAAUGUAUUCUAGACAUAUGAGUAAGAUGAAAUCAAAUCACCUUGUGAAAAAGAAACUACCAUCCUUAAGCUAAUUUCUUGCAAACCAAGAAAUGGGGAAAAAAAAAUAAAAGGUAUGAAAAUGACUAUGUCAAAUGACUAUGUUAUCUAAUUCUUGACUUAGAUUUACAUUUUCAGUCAUUAAAUCAAUACCUAUUUUCUUUAUUUCAGGAAGCCCAUGCCAGUGAUUGUUAAUCUCUAGCUGGAGAACAUGCACAGGACACACAUGUCUGUAAUGGAUAUGAUUCCAGUUUGAGAACCCUCAUGGAUUACCAUUUAAACAAAAAAGUCCUAAGUGAACAUAUUAAGUGAUAAGCAUGACUAAUUUAGAAGCACAAAUUGUCAAACCGUUUCUGUUUCAAAUAAGAGAAAUAAGCAAAUCAUUUGCUAUGAAGUCAACUUAUGUCAUGACAACCAUGUUCUCUAAAGACAAAGGAGUGAGAAGCGAUUUAAACCAUCUAUUAUCUAAGAAUGCCUGGCAGCCUAUGCGGUCAAUAGACUCAUUGCUCACGUUUUUAUUGAGUUUCAUCUUCCUGUUUGCUGCCUUGGGCUAUUAUUUUGUACACCUGCACUCAGCCAGAAAUAUAAUGAAAAAGAAUCAAUCUCUGAAGAGAAAGUUAUCACCAGCCAAUAACAUUGGGCCACUUUCAUGGGUUCUGCAGUGUUUCAUCCAAUUGCCAAAAUGCUUUACCAUUAUAAACUGAAGAUAGUAACUCAGCUGCUCUUCCUGGAGAUGCUCUUUGGACUCCACCUUCUCAUCGCAAUGAUGAAAAUCUGAUUUGCAUGAUAUUGUACUCUCUACAUUGAAUUCAAGGAACAGUAAAGGUACUUUAUUUUCUUUACUUAUGGAAUUAUGUAAUAUGUAGAUUCAAACCAUGAUGAAUUGGUAACUGACAUAUGUUUGAAGGCUGUUGUAAGUGGGACAUAUUUUGAAUUAAUUGUUGUAGCUUGGAAAAAAAUAAUGUUUUUA